AACGAACGCUGGCGGCAGGCUUAACACAUGCAAGUCGAACGGACGGGUGUAGCAAUACAUUUCAUCAGUGGCAGACGGGUGAGUAACACGUGGGAACCUUCCUCGUUGUACGGGACAACUCAGGGAAACUUGAGCUAAUACCGUAUAAGUCCGAGAGGAGAAAGAUUUAUCGCAAUGAGACGGGCCCGCGUCGGAUUAGCUAGUUGGUUGGGUAACGGCCGUACCAACGACGACGAUCCGUAGCNGAUCUGAGAGGAUGAUCAGCCACACUGGGA
rnacentral:rRNA from 1 species